rnacentral:misc_RNA from 1 species
ACGUCCUCGUCGUCGUUGUCGUCGUCGUCGUCGUCGUCGUCGUCAACGUCGUUAACGUCGUUGUCUUCGUUGUUGUCGAAUCGUGGUUUGUUCGAAGGUAAAACGAGCAAGGGUUUCCAUACGAGAGCAUGGACUGCUGUUGUUGCUGCUGCCGCUUCUGCAGACACGCAUACCGCAACAUUGCCGCAUAAUUUUUGUUUCGAGCAAGAGAGAGAGAGAUAGAGAAAGAGAGAGAGAAAGAGAAGAGAUAAAGAGAGCGAAAAGAGGAGAGAAAAAGAAAGGAGAGAGAUUUCAUCGUUAGGCUUCGUCGAAAAAACGUGAGCUGAAUCUACCCAAAGCUGCAGCGACCUUUCAUUCUUUUUCAUCUUCAUCUUUAUUUCCUUUAUCUCGUAGCUUGCCUUUCCUAUAGAUAACACAGAGAAAAAAGAGAGAGAGAGAGAUCAAGGACAAUUUCAUGUAGACUUCCUGUGAUUAUUCUCAUCAUUUUUAAUCCUUCUUAUAAUUAUUCUUUGUCAUUAUCGUUGUCGUCGUCGUUGUGAAAAAAGUGACAGAUAGGAAGAUUAAAGAGAAAUUGGAUGAGAUAAUGUAAAAGAAAGAGGUGUUAGAGAAGAUUAUUCUAACUGUUCCAGUACGAAGAUAUACAUAUAUCAUAGUAUACGAACGACACAGGAAAUAAUAGUUGAUAUCGUUCGGAUUUGGCGAUCGGGUGACGAAAGUGAUCUGCAACGCAGGACAGUGGCGCCCCUUUAUUGGACCGCCAGCUACGACAACGAACAUCGCAGACCUCGUGGCGGCGUUGGAUCGGAGCAUCCGCAAAGUAGCGACAGCGAUGACUCCACCGCGACGCACAGCCAAAAUCAGGGUC